CUGAACGUUCAAGGCAAACGACUGGAGAAGAUUUUAUAAUCAUAAUCAGUGCUACAUUCCUGGGCCAGUCCGAUCCGCCUCCUCUGAUUCAUUCAUGGAUCAGAUUUCAUAUGGCAAUCAAUACAAAAAUAUGAAAAUGGGGAAAUGGUGUAUGGAUGCGUACCUUGCCGUGAUUCAAGGCCAAUCGGAACACGGUCUGGACCUGGUCGACUUGGCGGGAUUUUUGGAUCAGAUCCAUGAGGGGUGUGGUGCCGUGGAAAUCCGUCAGAUUGAUCAAGGCCCGCAACGCGAUCAUUUGCUCGAUUAAGUCGGGAUCCAUUACCGGGGCCGCCAUGGCCAUG